UACAGAGGGUGCAAGCGUUGUUCGGAAUUACUGGGCGUAAAGCGCGUGUAGGCGGCGGCGUAAGUCGGAUGUGAAAGCCCUCAGCUCAACUGAGGAAGUGCAUUCGAUACUGCAUCGCUUGAGUGCCGGAGGGGAUGGCGGAAUUCCCGGUGUAGAGGUGAAAUUCGUAGAUAUCGGGAGGAACACCUGUGGCGAAGGCGGCCAUCUGGACGGUAACUGACGCUGAGACGCGAAAGCGUGGGUAGCAAAC
rnacentral:rRNA from 1 species